AUUGAACGCUGGCGGUAUGCUUUACACAUGCAAGUCGAACGGUAACAGGCCGCAAGGUGCUGACGAGUGGCGAACGGGUGAGUAAUGCAUCGGAACGUGCCCAGUCGUGGGGGAUAACUACUCGAAAGAGUAGCUAAUACCGCAUACGAUCUAUGGAUGAAAGCGGGGGACCGUAAGGCCUCGCGCGAUUGGAGCGGCCGAUGUCAGAUUAGGUAGUUGGUGGGGUAAAGGCUCACCAAGCCAACGAUCUGUAGCUGGUCUGAGAGGACAACCAGCCACACUGGGACUGAGACACGGCCCAGACUCCUACGGGAGGCAGCAGUGGGGAAUUUUGGACAAUGGGCGCAAGCCUGAUCCAGCAAUGCCGCGUGCAGGAAGAAGGCCUUCGGGUUGUAAACUGCUUUUGUACGGAACGAAACGGCUCUGGUUAAUACCCGGGGCUAAUGACGGUACCGUAAGAAUAAGCACCGGCUAACUACGUG
rnacentral:rRNA from 1 species